rnacentral:rRNA from 1 species
GAUGAACGCUGGCGGCGUGCCUAAUACAUGCAAGUCGAGCGAACAGAUGAGGAGCUUGCUCCUCUGACGUUAGCGGCGGACGGGUGAGUAACACGUGGAUAACCUACCUAUAAGACUGGGAUAACUUCGGGAAACCGGAGCUAAUACCGGAUAAUAUAUUGAACCGCAUGGUUCAAUAGUGAAAGACGGUUUUGCUGUCACUUAUAGAUGGAUCCGCGCCGCAUUAGCUAGUUGGUAAGGUAACGGCUUACCAAGGCAACGAUGCGUAGCCGACCUGAGAGGGUGAUCGGCCACACUGGAACUGAGACACGGUCCAGACUCCUACGGGAGGCAGCAGUAGGGAAUCUUCCGCAAUGGGCGAAAGCCUGACGGAGCAACGCCGCGUGAGUGAUGAAGGUCUUCGGAUCGUAAAACUCUGUUAUUAGGGAAGAACAAAUGAGUAAGUAACUAUGCACGUCUUGACGGUACCUAAUCAGAAAGCCACGGCUAACUACGU